GCUGGCGACCGGCGCACGGGUGAGUAACACGUAUCCAACCUGCCGAUGACUCGGGGAUAGCCUUUCGAAAGAAAGAUUAAUACCCGAUGGCAUAGUUCUUCCGCAUGGUAGAACUAUUAAAGGAUUUCGGUCAUCGAUGGGGAUGCGUUCCAUUAGGUUGUUGGCGGGGUAACGGCCCACCAAGCCUUCGAUGGAUAGGGGUUCUGAGAGGAAGGUCCCCCACAUUGGAACUGAGACACGGUCCAAACUCCUACGGGAGGCAGCAUG
rnacentral:rRNA from 1 species